GCAGUCGAGGGGUAUGCUUCUUCGGGAGCAGAGACCGGCGCACGGGUGCGUAACGCGUAUGCAAUCUACCUUUUACAGAGGGAUAGCCCAGAGAAAUUUGGAUUAAUACCUCAUAGUAUAAUAGCUCGGCAUCGAGCAAUUAUUAAAGUCACAACGGUAAAAGAUGAGCAUGCGUCCCAUUAGCUAGUUGGUAAGGUAACGGCUUACCAAGGCUACGAUGGGUAGGGGUCCUGAGAGGGAGAUCCCCCACACUGGUACUGAGACACGGACCAGACUCCUACGGGAGGCAGCAGUGAGGAAUAUUGGACAAUGGGCGCAAGCCUGAUCCAGCCAUGCCGCGUGCAGGAUGACGGUCCUAUGGAUUGUAAACUGCUUUUGUACAGGAAGAAACAGUUCUACGUGUAGAACCUUGACGGUACUGUAAGAAUAAGGAUCGGCUAACUCCGUGCCAGCAGCCGCGGUAAUACGGAGGAUCCAAGCGUUAUCCGGAAUCAUUGGGUUUAAAGGGUCCGUAGGCGGUUUAAUAAGUCAGUGGUGAAAGCCCAUCGCUCAACGGUGGAACGGCCAUUGAUACUGUUAAACUUGAAUUAUUAGGAAGUAACUAGAAUAUGUAGUGUAGCGGUGAAAUGCUUAGAGAUUACAUGGAAUACCAAUUGCGAAGGCAGGUUACUACUAAUUGAUUGACGCUGAUGGACGAAAGCGUGGGUAGCGAACAGGAUUAGAUACCCUGGUAGUCCACGCCGUAAACGAUGGAUACUAGCUGUUGGGAGCAAUUUCAGUGGCUAAGCGAAAGUGAUAAGUAUCCCACCUGGGGAGUACGUUCGCAAGAAUGAAACUCAAAGGAAUUGACGGGGGCCCGCACAAGCGGUGGAGCAUGUGGUUUAAUUCGAUGAUACGCGAGGAACCUUACCAAGGCUUAAAUGUAGAUUGACCGGUUUGGAAACAGAUCUUUCGCAAGACAAUUUACAAGGUGCUGCAUGGUUGUCGUCAGCUCGUGCCGUGAGGUGUCAGGUUAAGUCCUAUAACGAGCGCAACCCCUGUUGUUAGUUGCCAGCGAGUCAUGUCGGGAACUCUAACAAGACUGCCAGUGCAACUGUGAGG
rnacentral:rRNA from 1 species